rnacentral:rRNA from 1 species
AACGAACGCUGGCGGCAUGCCUAACACAUGCAAGUCGAACGAUCCCUUCGGGGAUGGUGGCGCACUGGUGCGUAACGCGUGGGAACCUGCCCUUAGGUUCGGAAUAACUCAGAGGAAUUUGAGCUAAUACCGGAGAAUGUCUUCCAUCCAAAGAUUUAUCGCCUUUGGAUGGGCCUGCGUUGUAUUAGCUUGUUGGUGGGGUAAAGGCCUACCAAGGCUACGAUCCAUAGCUGGUCUGAGAGGAUGAUCAGCGACACUGGUACUGAGAAACGGCCGAGAAUACUACGGGAGGCAGCAGUGGGGAAUAUUGGCAAAUGGGCGAAAGGAUGAUGCAGCAAUGACGCGUGAGUGAUGAAGGCCUUAGGGUUGUAAAGCAAUUUUAUACGGGAUGAUAAUGACAGUACCGGGAGAAUAAGCCCCGGCUAACUUCGUG